CGGGGUGAGUAACGCGUGAGUAACCUGCCUUUCAGAGGGGGAUAACGUUCUGAAAAGAAACGCUAAUACCGCAUGAGACUACAGAGCUGCAUGGCUCAGUGGUCAAAGGAGCAAUCCGCUGAAAGAUGGACUCGCGUCCGAUUAGAUAGUAGGCGGGGUAACGGCCCACCUAGUCGACGAUCGGUAGCCGGACUGAGAGGUUGAACGGCCACAUUGGGACUGAGACACGGCCCAGACUCCUACGGGAGGCAGCAUG
rnacentral:rRNA from 1 species